rnacentral:rRNA from 1 species
UUUAAAUGUAAAAUAAAUAUACUAAAGUAGUNUUAGUUAUGUUCUUGAAAUUUAAAGAUUUUGGCGGUAUUUUAGUCUAUUUAGAGGAGCCUGUUCUAUAAUUGAUAAUCCACGAUUAAUUUUACUUAAUUUAGAUAAAUUUGUAUACCGUCGUUAUAAGAAGAUUUUAAAAGAAUACAAAUUUUUAAUAUUUUGGAUAAAAAAAUAUAUCAGAUCAAGGUGCAGUUUAUAAUUAAGAAGAAAUGGGCUACAAUAAAUUUAUUUAAUUAUACGGAUUAAAGAGAGAAAUAACUUUAUGAAGGUGGAUUUAAUAGUAAUAAAAUUAAUUUAAAUUUUAUGAUUUUAGCUCUAAAAUAUG